GAUGAACCUGGAGCUUGCUCUAGGGGAUUAGUGGCGAACGGGUGAGUAACACGUGAGUAACCUGCCCUUGACUCUGGGAUAACCUCCGGAAACGGAAGCUAAUACCGGAUACGACGUACGGAGGCAUCUCCUGUACGUGGAAAGAACUUCGGUCAAGGAUGGACUCGCGGCCUAUCAGGUAGUUGGUGAGGUAACGGCCCACCAAGCCUACGACGGGUAGCCGGCCUGAGAGGGUGACCGGCCACACUGGGACUGAGACACGGCCCAGACUCCUACGGGAGGCAGCAGUGGGGAAUAUUGCACAAUGGGCGAAAGCCUGAUGCAGCAACGCCGCGUGAGGGAUGACGGCCUUCGGGUUGUAAACCUCUUUUAGUAGGGAAGAAGCGAAAGUGACGGUACCUGCAGAAAAAGCACCGGCUAACUACGUGCCAGCAGCCGCGGUAAUACGUAGGGUGCGAGCGUUGUCCGGAAUUAUUGGGCGUAAAGAGCUCGUAGGCGGUCUGUCGCGUCUGCUGUGAAAACCCGAGGCUCAACCUCGGGCUUGCAGUGGGUACGGGCAGACUAGAGUGCGGUAGGGGAGAAUGGAAUUCCUGGUGUAGCGGUGGAAUGCGCAGAUAUCAGGAGGAACACCGAUGGCGAAGGCAGUUCUCUGGGCCGUAACUGACGCUGAGGAGCGAAAGCGUGGGGAGCGAACAGGAUUAGAUACCCUGGUAGUCCACGCCGUAAACGUUGGGCGCUAGAUGUGGGGA
rnacentral:rRNA from 1 species